CUCAAGAUCAGUGGUUCCGCGGCAGUGGUGCGCGACAUCAAUGGUGGUACUCUGGACCCUAACCGUCCUGUGUGUGUCAACGGACCGUGCAGACCUGGUGAACCCUACAUCCCUCGUCCUCGUCCAUGCCGCACAAUCUACGGGUGCCGUGACCAACCCCCCUCUCCCUAAUAAUGGAAGCAAGGAUACAGCCUUUAUGCAUGCUUCGUACCAGUACAGGUUACUGCAGUGUACUGAAACGACUGUAGUAUCCCCUCCUAUGUGUGCUUACAUCUUUAAUACUCUGAAUAAAACAGGAAGCAUGCCCGGCCAUGAAAUUAUUGUAUGAACAUGGAAGUACAAUUCCGAAUCUACAA